rnacentral:rRNA from 1 species
AUUGAACGCUGGCGGCAUGCUUUACACAUGCAAGUCGAACGGCAGCGCGGGCUUCGGCCUGGCGGCGAGUGGCGAACGGGUGAGUAAUGCAUCGGAACGUGCCCAGUAGUAGGGGAUAGCCCGGCGAAAGCCGGAUUAAUACCGCAUACGACCUGAGGGUGAAAGCGGGGGACCGAAAGGCCUCGCGCUAUUGGAGCGGCCGAUGUCGGAUUAGCUAGUUGGUGGGGUAAAGGCUUACCAAGGCGACGAUCCGUAGCUGGUCUGAGAGGACGACCAGCCACACUGGGACUGAGACACGGCCCAGACUCCUACGGGAGGCAGCAGUGGGGAAUUUUGGACAAUGGGGGCAACCCUGAUCCAGCCAUGCCGCGUGCGGGAAGAAGGCCUUCGGGUUGUAAACCGCUUUUGUUCGGGAAGAAAUCCUCUGGGCUAAUACCCCGGGGGGAUGACGGUACCGGAAGAAUAAGCACCGGCUAACUACGU